AUGGAAUUUGAGAGAGGGACCUUAGAGAUCAUGUCAUCCUUUGUUAGCACUUAAGGUGUCAACUGAAAGAAAUCAAAAGGAGCAGCUACAAAACAAAGGGAAUCUGAUGGAUCUUGCAAGGGAUGAAUCCUUCACAUUGAUUUCAUGAUGCUUAAAAUACUUCACACAACAUCCAAGUUCAUUACAGAAGGAUAGGAAGGAUGAAUUUGAAAAAGGACAAACCACUAAGCACUACCCAGCAUUCCUUGCAUUUAGGUAUGUCCAUACGACUGAAUUCUAGCCAGUGGAAUCUAAGAAAGUGUGUUGUGUCAUUUUUAGACCAGGUCCAUGUGAUCCUACAUUCUCCUUUCCUCUUUCACUUGCUAAAGGAUGAUCUUGGAAGGCAUAAGUGGAAGUAGGCAAAGUCUGCUACAGUUUGAAGUGCUGAAUGACUGUGGUGGGGCAAAUAAACCCCAAUGCAACCUAAAAAUCUUCAGCCGCCUUGGUCUGUUUAUG